GCUCCCAUGGCGUAGUGGUCACUGCGCUCGCCUUGCACGCGGGAGACCCAGGUUCGAUUCGCGGUGGGGUCA
rnacentral:tRNA from 1 species